rnacentral:rRNA from 1 species
GACGAACGCUGGCGGCGUGCCUAACACAUGCAAGUCGAGCGAUGAAGCCCUUCGGGGUGGAUUAGCGGCGGACGGGUGAGUAACACGUGGGUAACCUGCCUCAAAGAGGGGGAUAGCCUCCCGAAAGGGAGAUUAGUACCGCAUAACAUUGGUUUUUCGCAUGAAGAACUAAUUAAAGGAGUAAUCCGCUUUGAGAUGGACCCGCGGCGCAUUAGCUAGUUGGUGAGGUAAAGGCUCACCAAGGCGACGAUGCGUAGCCGACCUGAGAGGGUGAUCGGCCACAUUGGAACUGAGACACGGUCCAGACUCCUACGGGAGGCAGCAGUGGGGAAUAUUGCACAAUGGGCGAAAGCCUGAUGCAGCAACGCCGCGUGAGUGAUGAAGGCCUUCGGGUUGUAAAGCUCCGUCUUUUGGGACGAUAAUGACGGUACCAAAGGAGGAAGCCACGGCUAACUACGUGCCAGCCGCCGCGGUAACAC